rnacentral:lncRNA from 1 species
CAUACCCAUUCAGCCGUGAGGUGGAUUAAUGAAGCCGCAGAUGAAGACUGUACACAAGAGCAAAAGGGUUUUUUUUGUUUUUUUGUUUUUUUCUUUCCCAGGACUAAGGCAACAAAAGAAUCAUGCUGUUCAGUGGAAACAGAGCCACCGGCAGCUUUUGGACAUGUGUUCUCUGCCGCUGGUUUACAUUCAUCCCUCACCCUGCAGGGCCUAUUGCUAAGGAUCCAUCCAGCUCUGAAGUCACUCAGAGAAACUUUCAUACCAUAUUUUAUAAGUUACUGUUCAAACUGCGCUGAGCCAGAAGAGAAUGUGAUGUCUGACUGGAAAAGCUGUCCAGCGGUGGCACUCUGUCUCCAAAGUCUGUACCUGCCCCGAGGACACCAGGACUCCAUUUCUAGGAAGACUGUCUCAGAAGACAGAGCUUGACCAUUGCAUCUCACCUGAGGCACGCGUGCUUUUGAGAAUACUUUUGCCCUUACAGAGCCCCAUCAAAUCUGUGAGGCAAGAGAAAAUUUUCCUUUAUGCUUCUUGGAGCUCAUCACUGGGCCAGGAAAGCUGGGAGGAAUGGCUAAGCAAUUGACAGCACUUUGAAGUAUGUUCAGUCACAGUUGAACGCUUCAUGAAACCUGAUUUUUGAUGUCUGUUUGGCAUCAUAGGACUGUUGACCACUGACCUUCAGACAUGGCCUAGAAUCUGGCACCCUAUAUUUUUAGAGUUGAACAGGAAUAUUACAUACAAAAGCCAUUCAGAUGUGUAAUAUCAAAUAAUACAGUUAGAAUAAUUAUUUUGUUUUUGUUGGUAAUACGCUUCAACCAUCUUACAGGGAUUUGGUGAGAUUGUUGUUGUAUUUCUAAAAUAUCUAAGAGAAAAGCUGAAAAAUGAGUGCAAAAUAAUGAUGCACAAUUUAGUUAACUCCUCCAGCCACACGAUGAUACAGACAUUGGCAAGUCAGGGGGCAGUGGGACCUCCACAUGUAGAUGUGCUACAGGAAACAAGAAGUCAAGGGCUGUCCUGGAUGUCAGAAUUAACUCUGUCUACCUUAAUAAAAAUCAGAAGCAGCCAU